rnacentral:ncRNA from 1 species
UUAUAACUGCCACCGGGUAGAAAAUGCAGAAGCAUUUGUCCGCACAUCGUUAGGUCUUUGAAGAUGUGCCCGCAAAUGCUUAUUUUUA